GACGUAGGGCGCGAGCGUUGUCCGGAUUUAUUGGGCGUAAAGAGCUCGUAGGCGGCUUGUCGCGUCGUUCGUGAAAACCUGCGGCUCAACUGCAGGCUUGCGGUCGAUACGGGCAGGCUGGAGUUCGGUAGGGGAGACUGGAAUUCCUGGUGUAGCGGUGAAAUGCGCAGAUAUCAGGAGGAACACCGGUGGCGAAGGCGGGUCUCUGGGCCGAUACUGACGCUGAGGAGCGAGAGCGUGGGGAGCGAACAGG
rnacentral:rRNA from 1 species